rnacentral:tRNA from 1 species
GGAUAUAGCUGAGUGGCAGAGCAUGUGCCUAACAUGCACAAGGUCCUGGGUUCAAUCCCCAACACUUCCA